GACGAACGCUGGCGGCGUGCUUAACACAUGCAAGUCGAACGGAAAGGCCCUGCUUUUGUGGGGUGCUCGAGUGGCGAACGGGUGAGUAACACGUGAGUAACCUGCCCUUGACUUUGGGAUAACUUCAGGAAACUGGGGCUAAUACCGGAUAGGAGCUCCUGCUGCAUGGUGGGGGUUGGAAAGUUUCGGCGGUUGGGGAUGGACUCGCGGCUUAUCAGCUUGUUGGUGGGGUAGUGGCUUACCAAGGCUUUGACGGGUAGCCGGCCUGAGAGGGUGACCGGCCACAUUGGGACUGAGAUACGGCCCAGACUCCUACGGGAGGCAGCAGUGGGGAAUAUUGCACAAUGGGCGCAAGCCUGAUGCAGCAACGCCGCGUGCGGGAUGACGGCCUUCGGGUUGUAAACCGCUUUCGCCUGUGACGAAGCGUGAGUGACGGUAAUGGGUAAAGAAGCACCGGCUAACUACGU
rnacentral:rRNA from 1 species